GCUCCGCCGGCCCCGCGGCCCUCCUCCAGCUCCAGCCCGCAGCCAGGCCUGCGGCUGCCCCCGCCGCGGCCCCCGCCGCCGCCCCCGCGGCAACGCGCAUUGAGGAGCCGGCGUAGCGGGGCGCUGGCCUCACACGCACCCUCGCGGCACCGCGCCCGCCACGGGCGCUGCCACGGGCCCCACCGCGGCCACCUUUGGCUGCACUGCCGUCGCAGAGGAAGGUGGCCGCUAGCAGCAGAGCCCAGCACACGGCGGCCGCCCAGUUCAUGUUCCUGGAGCAGAACCUGCAGGACGGAGAAGGAGACCUCAGCUUCUGUGAGGACGGGGCACUCAGGAGCUGGGAACAGAGGACUUGGGGAGCUGUUCUGCAUUCAUUCUGACACCUGAGCAGUAACGUUCUGCCACGUCCGCCUGCGUCACAGUUGGUGACCUCGUCCUUUGGGCACAGCCCCUGAGCGCCACGCACCAGGAUUUCUCCGAGCUACACGGACGAGCGGGAGCACUGGGGGUGAACUUCACAUGCAACGUGACAAGAAAAUGCCAAGUUCUCUCCUCAGAGUGGCUGUGUGACUUACACUCCUACAGCUGAACCACAUCCUGUCCAACAGAUGGUGUGGUGGAUUUCCUAAUCUCUGCCAAUGUAGACGGUAAAAAUAGUGUUGCGCUAUGAAUUGCCUCUCUCGGCUGCACUUGGCAUGGUUAGUGUCAGUGAGGGUUUCUGCUUCUGUGAGAUGCCUGAGUGUGUGUGUGUGUGUCUUUUGCCCAUUUCUCUCCACAUUUUACUUAUUGAUUUGCAGGAGUUCUUUAUGCACUCUUUUCUAAAUUUCUUUAUUGAGGUUUAAUUUACACAGUGAAGUGCGCAGACCUUAGAUGCUAAGUUUGAUGAAUUUUGAUGAAUGCACAGAUGCGUGAACCUGCACCUCAUCAAGAUACAAACUUCCUUCACCUUAGAAGCACCCUGCACGCUCCUUCCCAGUCAACCCUUCACCCCCUCUUCGAGGCAACGCUGCUCUGAGUCUUUUCUUCGUGGAUUACUUAUUUUCUAGACUGUGACAGAGCGGAACCAUCCAGUACCCCUCUCUGUCUGGCUUCUGUCAGCAUGUUUUGAGGAUGUGUAUUUCAUUAUAUGGGUAGAACAUGGUUAUCUGGAAGAGUGUUUUAAAAUUUUCAAAUGUUUGGAGAUUUUCUGGAUGUAUUUUUGUUAUUGAUUUACUUUAACUUCCUUGUAAUCAGAGAGCACACUUGGCAUGAAUCUGAAUCCUGUAAGUGUGAGAUUCAUGUUAUGCUCGAGAACAUGGGCCCGUGUUGGUGAGGGACCUGGGUUCACGGGUCUGUUUCUGGGUUCUGCUCCACUCCGUUUGUCUCUGGGUUUGUCGUGUCUCUGAUUCUGCACUGCCCUGAUUGCGACAGCUUUGUAGAUUUGAAACCAGCGGGUGUGGAUGCUCGGACUACUCUUGCUUUUCAAAAUAGUUUUGGCUCUUUUAGUUCCUUAGCCUUUCCGUAAAUUUUAGAUUCAGCUUGUUGAUUUAUGCAGUAUUCUGUUGUAAUUUUUAUUGGAAUUGACUAUAAUCUAGAUCAGUUUGGGGAGAAUUAACGUCUUUACAAUAUUGAGUCUUCCAAUCCA